CACGUAGGGGCCAAGCGUUGUCCGGAUUUAUUGGGCGUAAAGAGCUCGUAGGCGGCUCGGUAAGUCGGGUGUGAAACCUCCAGGCUCAACCUGGAGACGCCACCUGAUACUGCUGUGGCUAGAGUCCGGUAGGGGAGCGUGGAAUUCCUGGUGUAGCAGUGAAAUGCGCAGAUAUCAGGAGGAACACCAGCGGCGAAGGCGGCGCUCUGGGCCGGAACUGACGCUGAGGAGCGAAAGCGUGGGUAGCAAACAGG
rnacentral:rRNA from 1 species